AGAUACAGGCUCUUUUUCUUCU
rnacentral:snRNA from 1 species